rnacentral:misc_RNA from 1 species
AAGUCGUAACAAGGUUUCCGUAGGUGAACCUGCGGAAGGAUCAUUAAAAAAUCGUUUGAGCCGCAAGGCUCUAUUAUCUUGUGAAAUGUAUAUGGGAUAGCUAACUAUGCGCACGCACAGUGGAGAAGAGUGUUGUGAUGUAGUAGUAAUGUGGAGGAUAGGAAGAUGUCUAGGCAUCAUCCAUCAUCAUCAUCAUCUGCUUACGUCCCAUCAAUCAUAUCUAUCUAUGCGGCGCGCAAGCUUUCCCAGUUAUUAUUAAACCUAUGUUUUUUGAUGUUGAGGAAAUAUGUAUAUUUAAUACUUAUACAACUUUCAACAGUGGAUCUCUCGGCUCUG